rnacentral:lncRNA from 1 species
GGGACAGGUGGGAGUCACGCCAGCUCCAACCAGGUCUAGAACCCAAACCUUCAACCCCUGAGCUUUCCUGCCUUCGAGUCCUCGGAGCUCUCCUGGAGGCUGAGCAGGCAACAGAGCCUGCUCCUCAGCUGGAUGUGGCCCGUGGGAGGUCUCUCAUCUGGGAAGUGGGAUGAUAGCGCCAACCUAGCUGGAUUGCUGGACUGCCAGCACAAUGCCUUCUAAGGGUUCAAGGUGGGUGCUCAGUAAGCUGCUCUCAUGACUACCAAGGAUCCCGAUGGUCCUCCCAGUUCUAGGAAGGGGUAGCCAUGCAGAACAAGUCUCAAAAGCCAGCAGGAGCAGGAGAGGAGGAUUGAGAACCCCCAAAUUGAUAGGCAGCCUGGGGCUGGGUGGGGCAAAAGGUACUGGGAGGUGGUGCCUCUGCCCUUUCCCCUUCCACUGCACCCCGUCCACACUCCAUAGAAGUCAGCAGUUCAAGUGUCCUGUAAUGCACCCCACACCCCAACACACAACACACAGGAGCCCCAGGCCUCAGAUGGGAAAAACACUGUCUGGCACUAGGUCUGGUUGGCUGGAGAAGUGGGGAGGGAGCCAGGCAGUCCUUCCAUCAUGCAGAUGGAGAGACCUAGAGUCUCAGGCGUUGGGAAAAUGAGUCAUUUAACAUCCAUCAGGACCCAAGCCUCCUGAGCCCCCAGCCUGGACCCCUGCACCCCCUCUGGGGAGCAGAGUGAGACACAGAGCUCCCUAACACUAGACCAGGUGUCCCUUAGCUCCGCUCUUCUAGGAGGCUCCCUGAGCACACCCUCUGCGGAGCCUGACUCCCACAGGAGAAGCAGAUGGUGCCAGAGUCUGC